UUUGACAAGAGUUAGGAAGCUGAUCGAGAUUUUUAGUUCGUCAACGCAAUAUUGCAAAUGCAAUAGUGUAAUGACUGUUUUUUUGAUAUUAUGGAACAAACGUCCCCCUGGAACGAUGAACUAGUUCAAUUUUGGUGGUUAAUGGUCAGUGUGACAUCAUAUGCGUUCCAUUUUGGUGAACCCGAUGUUUCCAACUUCCACACUAUGACUAAAACGAUAAGUGUAUGCUGUAACCAUAUGCUAAUUAUCUUAAUCUCAACACGUUUUGGGAAAAAAAACAAGAUUUUGGACGGACAUGGAUGUGAAAUCCAGUUCAACUGGUUACACACAACAGCAAUUCGUUACUUUUAGCUUUCGUCGAAGCACCGAUGAGUAUGAUGAGCACCUGAUUAACGCUCUCACAGUCUGUUCCAACGGAGCCAAAUGGAAGCUUAGCGUCUCCCAUCUACUGUCACUGAUUACAUCAGCAAAAUUAAACAAUCUGUCAUGUAUAGCACGAACCGUCUUAGCUUUGAUGGAAUAAUAAAUACUAUGUACGCAAGAAAACGGUGACAGCUCUUCACGGCUUCGUUCUGUUCAUCCGUACAUUGAGGCUCUGGCAUGAGUUGACACGCUGCGGGCAGAUGGAGCUGACGUGACAUCACCAGCUACAGGACGGGCCGAUGAAGAAGCAGGUACACUGACGGGCACAUGGUGCAUGCGGGAGGGAAAGGGGAUGUUCCAUGGAGAACGUUUCAAUGAAAACAACAAGAAAGGAAAGAAAGGAGGGAACAAUUAAUACACCUCAGAUGCUUAAUCUCAAGGUUCCCAAUCGGCUUUAUUCAAUCUUUAUCCAAUCAACGGCAUUAUUUCUGGAAAUGCUGAGUUUGAAGGACGCACGUUCGGACUCGUGACGACCAAAAACAAAAAUUUUAAGAAGAUAAUUGCUAGAGAGGCAACGAACGAGGGGUAGACGCAUGUUUUGAGGGGCCAAGAGUGAAGAAUGAUAAAAGCUCAUUAGCAAAACGGCUCCUCUCUCACCUCCCGCUGUUACACGUGGACACGUGUUUGUGUCUCUGUGUGUGUGUUUGUGUCUGUGUCCACAGGCUUUCAGUCAAAAGGACAAAGAGCCUUGUCAAGUAAACAUGCAGCCAGUCAAGCAAACAGUUGAGGUCAUGCACACACACACACACACACACAGUAUAUGUUUAGAUGCGUGUAUUGUGUGAGGGCACCGAUGCCGUUUCCAAGUCAUUUAACACUAGAUGGUGUUGGACUGGCCAAUGAUUACCAUUCUGUCUGAAAUACAAACAGACACAGAGAGACAGGGAGUGUGUGUGUGUGUGUGUGUGUGUGUGUGUGUGUGUGUGUGUGCGUGUGGGGGGCACAGGUAACGGCCAUCAGAGGCAGCAAGCACUCAAACAGCACAGUGCACUCAGAAAGUGAGCGUUGUGCUUUAUUAGUACUUUUAAAGAGGUUUCUCACUUUUUUUAAAAACAUUUUCGGCAAAGGUCUUCAAUGCAAAGGUCUUCAAUGCAAAAGUCUUCAAUGCAAAGGUAUUCAAUGCAAAGGUCUUCAAUGCAAAGGUCUUCAAUGCAAAAGGUCUUCAAUGCAAAAGGUAUUCAAUGCAAAAGGUCUUCAAUGCAAAUGUCUUCAAUGCAAUGGUCUUCAAUGCAAAAGUCUUCAAUGCAAAGGUCUUCAAUGCAAAGGUCUCCAACGUGACUUCUGCAGUUGAAUGUGCCCGAUUGUCCACAUACAUGUCCAAACUUUAGUGGAACUUGGGGGGGAUUGGAUAGUGAAUAUGUUAUGUGUUCGGCCAUGGCGGCGGAUGAAUGCAUUGCAUCGGCCCCCGGCCCCUCGGGCCCCUCGGGCCCCCGGGCCCCCGGGCACCGAUAGGUAGACGGAGAUCUUUGUGUAAAACUCAACAGAGCUAUGGGAGGAACCCAGGACUAUAUCCCACAUAGAGAGUGGUGACCUAGUGAAAGCGAUACAACAUAAUGUCGUAAAAAAAACGACGACAACAUCCCAAAUGACCAAGAGAAUAAAGUCAAAGUUUUUCUAUAUUAACUCUCUCUCAAAGGUAUAUUCGUACAGCUUUUCCUACAAAUAAAACCAGGGUAUCUAUUGCAUCCCCCAAGAUUCGAUGUGUCUGUUUAAUGCACAAUUUAGUACGAACAGCGAUCAGACUUUCAUUGAUAGUUGAGGGAAGCAUUUAACUCAUUGGGGUUGAACAUUCUCUCAAGUUAUUGGAGGACUAUCUUUCCUGUUUGUAAUGUCAGAAGAAACUCCAGAACUAUGCAUGUUAUGUACAUUUCUGAUCUAUUGAUCUACUGUUUUCAGUAAAUUGUAUAAAACUACACAUUUGGCGUCGCUGUGUAAAAAGUGUUUGUCCACCUCAGGGCAAAAAACAAAACGCUGUUCUGUCUCCCUUCCCUUCUUCUCUGCUGACAAUGACUCCUGUCGGCCCCGUGUCUUUCCCGGGAGCUGUCAGGGGGAGUAUUCAGCAUGCUUACCGAAGCACACAAAUGACACCUUUUAAGGCUGUGAGCUGUGUGUGUGUGUGUGUUUGUGUUAAAUGUAAGUGCACCAACGGUUUCACAAAGUGCAAAUUCCAUUUUUGUUGCGACGCUCUGGAGAGAAUAUCGUUUUCACUUCAUUAGCUCUGUAUGUGUGUAUCUGUGUGGAUGUGUGUGGAGAAAAAGAUGAGAUGGUGCCUCUAUCAAUCUGUGUGUGUGUGUGUGUGUGUGUGUUUGUGUUUGUGUUUGAGGGAACACACAGCUUGUUUGGUCGCUUCAUUUGUCUUCUCUAACAUGAUUACAAAUACUUAACUAUUAACUAUGAUAUGGGAUUUUAACUUAGAAUUCCCUUUUUUUUCAAUCCUUCUUUGCAAUUCUUCUUCAAAGAGGAUGUUUGUUAACUAUUGCCUCCCUACUAGAAAACUGCGAGCCUGGAAAAGGGCAUUGCAGGCAUUUUCUCUCUCUCAUUAUUUCUCUGUAAAUGUAUGAAAUAAAGGAUCAGUUAUUCGUUACCUGCUCAAUUGGAAUAUAAUGGGUCAUUUAAGGCAAUAACAUUUCUUUCGGGAUGCCCUUUGCCGCUGCAACCAUUUUAUUCAUCAAGUUAUCCAAGUAAAAUCCCGUAGUUGAGGCGUGCGAGGUUUUCAAACAAGUCUUCUUUUUCAUUCACAUUUUCUUAUCAUUUUAGUUGCUGGAUUUGCUGCAGACCAACUGUAUCCGUCCCAGAGUCAAUAUAUUAUGGAAGUAGCUACAUGUCAGCUUUGUUGGUUUGUUACAAUUACUUUUAUUUACAAAUUCACAGCUCUAAAAAUCCAAAAUGUGAAUUUACAACAUUUCCCGAAUACAUUUUAUAAAACAGCGCGUUUCAUGAAUCAACUGUAUUCCCAUUUGGAAGAUGGUAAAUGCAAUAGUUUAGACCCUGGGGGAUUUAGACCUCUAGUCACGCUAUGGAGCUGUCUGUGAGACAGUUUCUACGCUGAUCUAUAGUUUGAGAUCCCAUAACGUAACGUGCCUCUGCGAUGCUCUGCUUGAAAGACACAGAAGGUGUGUUUCUUAAGGGUUUAGGAUGAGGAUGAAAGAGCAUUUGUUGGUUUGUUCUGGUACAACUACAGCAAAUAAACAUUACAAAUGUGGGUUAAGUGUUUGGGAUAUUUUACAUGUGGCCCUGCAUCUCAUUUUUCCCUUUCAAGAGGACCCAUUAGUUGACUGUAGCUCACUUUCUCCACAGCACAGCAGCCCGAGUGGCUCUUUAUCAUGAUUUCUCUUCGUCUUCGUGCAGGAUAUCCGAGAGGGAAUCUCAUCAUCUUUUCUCCACCGGAAGCAAAUCCAAAUACGCACAUACAUCGUGUGUUUUACACUACAAGGGGAUGCAAGUGGGCACGUCAUUAAAACUUAAUCAUGUUUUAUCAAUUGUUGGGGCACUUCAGUCGUCUUCUUGAGUCCAGCCUUUCACAUGUCAAAAAAUGUUGAUUUCCGAGUUAAAUAUUUACCAUAAAUGUGAGAUUAAUGAGUUAGUUGUGGAAUAUAAUGCUUUUUCGCUUGAUAGAUUUCUGUUAAGAAGAACAUUACGUUAACCUAAAACUAAGUUAUUGAGUUGAAUUGUUCUCUGAUUCGACAUUUCUCCUUUGUGAUCUCUCUUAAUCUUCUUCAUAAUAAAAAGUAAUACAAGCAGUCAAUAAGUGUUUUUUUUUAUGUUACGCCAACUUAAAAUAGAAGUAAUGAAAUAGACAGCGCAGACGUUGUGAUCCGCUUCACAGCACAAAUUGAUUAAACAUCGAAUUGACAUUUUCCACGGCUCCGCACUUUGUGUUAUUAUGAUGUGAAAGCAGGUCAUUCGCUUGCAGUAACAAUAUUGAAGUCAGAUAAAUAAUUAAAAAGUUGGACACAAACUUUGAUGCACUGCAGCUUCUACCAGAGACAGAUGCGUAAUUACAGAGAGACACUGUAAAGCCUUUACAACAGCCAUGAGACAACCAAGCAGAAAAUGACCGGUCGCAGGAGCAAGACGCAAUAGACGAGUGCACAGUUGGCGCGGCUGCUGGAUUUCAGUGCUGGGCUUCUUGUGCACAAGCGUGAUCGUUUGUGGCGACCGUUCAUUUUUUUUAUCUUGUUGGUAAUCUUGUAAGUGUGGUUUUGGACACGCUUGAGAAUCGCGGGAUGGCCCAUUCAAAGGACAAUCU
ensembl:lncRNA